UGGAAAUGAUGAAAUAAAGAUAAUUGGGUGUUGAAUGUUGUAUGACUGGAAGUUUUUAAUAUGUAAAUUAAUCUAAGUUUAAUAUUUUAUAGGUAAAUUAAGUUUAAUAUUUUAUAGGUACUUAAUAGAAAGUGUGUGUGUGCGUGCGUGUGAUUGUGGAGGCUAUGGAAAGGGGGCACUGACUGGUGAUGCUGAUAUUGGAGUGCAUCUGAGGCUGUUGUAGAAACAUAUGGGUUGUUGGUUACAACAUUGCUGAUGAUUAUGACCCAAAAACAGCUCACCUAAGUAGCCUAACACCCUAAAAUCUUUAACAGGUUCAUUAAAUGUGUUCCUGUGAUCUGAUCCAA